rnacentral:rRNA from 1 species
GAUGAACGCUGGCGGCGUGCUUAACACAUGCAAGUCGAACGAAGCACUUUAUUUGAUUUCCUUCGGGACUGAUUAUUUUGUGACUGAGUGGCGGACGGGUGAGUAACGCGUGGGUAACCUGCCUUGUACAGGGGGAUAACAGUUGGAAACGGCUGCUAAUACCGCACAAGCGCACGGCAUCGCAUGAUGCAGUGUGAAAAACUCCGGUGGUAUAAGAUGGACCCGCGUUGGAUUAGCUAGUUGGUGAGGUAACGGCCCACCAAGGCGACGAUCCAUAGCCGACCUGAGAGGGUGACCGGCCACAUUGGGACUGAGACACGGCCCAAACUCCUACGGGAGGCAGCAGUGGGGAAUAUUGCACAAUGGGCGAAAGCCUGAUGCAGCGACGCCGCGUGAGCGAAGAAGUAUUUCGGUAUGUAAAGCUCUAUCAGCAGGGAAGAUAAUGACGGUACCUGACUAAGAAGCACCGGCUAAAUACGUGCCAGCCGCCGCAGUAA